rnacentral:rRNA from 1 species
GAUGAACGCUGGCGGCGUGCCUAAUACAUGCAAGUCGAGCGAACAGAUGAGGAGCUUGCUCCUCUGACGUUAGCGGCGGACGGGUGAGUAACACGUGGAUAACCUACCUAUAAGACUGGGAUAACUACGGGAAACCGGAGCUAAUACCGGAUAAUAUAUUGAACCGCAUGGUUCAAUAGUGAAAGACGGUUUUGCUGUCACUUAUAGAUGGAUCCGCGCCGCAUUAGCUAGUUGGUAAGGUAACGGCUUACCAAGGCAACGAUGCGUAGCCGACCUGAGAGGGUGAUCGGCCACACUGGAAAUGAGACACGGUCCAGACUCCUACGGGAGGCAGCAGUAGGGAAUCUUCCGCAAAGGGCGAAAGCCUGACGGAGCAACGCCGCGUGAGUGAUGAAGGUCUUCGGAUCGUAAAACUCUGUUAUUAGGGAAGAACAAAUGUGUAAGUAACUAUGCACGUCUUGACGGUACCUAAUCAGAAAGCCACGGCUAACUACGUG